GUGAAACUAUAUUUUAAAGCUGGAGUCUCCAUUUUGUCAAGAAACAUGGAUACGAUUCUGUAAUAAUAUAAAGACAUUUUGUAUUGCAAGGUACUAUGGGGAAGCUAGAUUAUUACCUGGUACAGGUGUGAUCGGGAGCUGAGAGGGAGCAGAAACGUGGUCUGUCCCUAUGACUGCGUCCAUUACAAUUACAUGCACAUUAUGCAAAUGAGGCGAUGGCAUAAUUUAGCGACAUCUAGCGACUUUUGGGACAGCCAAUAGCGACUUUCCUUGCUGAGUAGUUGGCAACAGUGGUCUGGAUCGACACAAAAAUGGAGGGAGCUGCUUCUGAAAUGACCCCCCCUGUGGAGUGUAAAACAAAGAGAACUGAGAGUGUCCUGAUGGAGAGAGCAGGCUCACCUGUACCCAGCUGUG